ACUCCUACGGGAGGCAGCAGUAGGGAAUUUUCGGCAAUGGGCGAAAGCCUGACCGAGCAAUGCCGCGUGAAUGAAGAAGGUCUUCGGAUUGUAAAAUUCUUUUAUUGGGAAAGAAAGAUAUGGCUAGGAAAUGAGCUAUAUUUGACGGUACCCAUUGAAUAAGCCCCGGCUAACUACGUGCCAGCAGCCGCGGUAAUACGUAGGGGGCGAGCGUUAUCCGGAAUUAUUGGGCGUAAAGCGUGCGUAGGCGGAAUGUUAAGUCAUUUGUAAAAGAUCUCAGCCCAACUGAGUAAGGCGAAUGAAACUGGCAAUCUUGAAUACGGUAGAGGUAAGUGGAAUUCCAUGUGUAGCGGUGGAAUGCGUAGAUAUAUGGAGGAACACCAAUGGCGAAGGCAGCUUAGUGGGCCGGAAUUGACGGUGAGGCACGAAAGCGUGGGGAGCAAACAGGAUUAGAUACCGUGGUAGUC
rnacentral:rRNA from 1 species